GUUUUACUCAAUACAUUUGGAAAGGCAAGAAGCCAAGAUUGAAACAGUCAAUAUUGGUGCAGAAAUUACAUAAAGGUGGACUCGAUUAUCCAUUUAUAAUGAAUAAUUUUAAAGCAGCUACUAUCCUACAUGUCUAUAGAAUGCAAAUUAAAGAAAAUAAAGACGAAGGAUGGUAUAAAAUGGAAAUGAAGGCAGGAGAAGUCUCUAGCUUAGAUUGCCU